rnacentral:rRNA from 1 species
UACGGGGGGGGCAAGCGUUUGUUCGGAAUUACUGGGCGUAAAGGGCUCGUAGGCGGCCAACUAAGUCAGACGUGAAAUCCCCAGGCUCAACCUGGGAACUGCGUCUGAUACUGGAUGGCUUGAAUCCGGGAGAGGGAUGCAGAAUUCCAGGUGUAGCGGUGAAAUGCGUAGAUAUCUGGAGGAAUACCGGUGGCGAAGGCGGCAUCCUGGACCGGCAUUGACGCUGAGGAGCGAAAGCCAGGGGAGCAAACGGG